GACGAACGCUGGCGGCGUGCCUAAUACAUGCAAGUAGAACGCUGAAGGAAGGAGCUUGCUCUUUCCGGAUGAGUUGCGAACGGGUGAGUAACGCGUAGGUAACCUGCCUGGUAGCGGGGGAUAACUAUUGGAAACGAUAGCUAAUACCGCAUAACAGUAGAUAUCGCAUGAUAGCUGCUUGAAAGGUGCAAAUGCACCACUACCAGAUGGACCUGCGUUGUAUUAGCUAGUUGGUGAGGUAACGGCUCACCAAGGCAACGAUACAUAGCCGACCUGAGAGGGUGAUCGGCCACACUGGGACUGAGACACGGCCCAGACUCCUACGGGAGGCAGCAGUAGGGAAUCUUCGGCAAUGGACGGAAGUCUGACCGAGCAACGCCGCGUGAGUGAAGAAGGUUUUCGGAUCGUAAAGCUCUGUUGUAAGAGAAGAACGAGUGUGAGAGUGGAAA
rnacentral:rRNA from 1 species